GGGCAGAUGGCAGAGCGGUCAAAUGCACCUGGCUGUAAACCAGGCGCCCUUGUGGCUACGGGGGUUCGAAUCCCUCUCUGCCCA
rnacentral:tRNA from 1 species